rnacentral:rRNA from 1 species
GGGGAAUUUUCCGCAAUGGGCGUGGAGUGACGGAGCAAUACCGCGUGAGGGAGGAAGGCUCUUGGAUGUAAACCUCUUUUCUCAGGGAAGAAGACCUGACGGUACCUGAGGAAUCAGCAUCGGCUAACUCCGUGCCAGCAGCCGCGGUAAUACGGAGGAUGCAAGCGUUAUCCGGAAUUAUUGGGCGUAAAGAGUCCGUAGGUGGUCAAAUAAGUCUGCUGUCAAAGACCGGGGCUUAACUCCGGAAAGGCAGUGGAAACUGUGUGACUAGAGACCGGGAGGGGUAGAGAGAAUUCCCAGUGUAGCGGUGAAAUGCGUAAAGAUUGGGAAGAACACCGGUGGCGAAGGCGCUCUACUGGACCGGAACUGACACUGAGUUUUUUAAAGCUAGGGGAGCGAAAGGGAUUAGAUACCCCUGUAGUC